GCGUUCGGGUAAUCGCUGCAGCUCUUGAAGCUGGAGAGGAAAGUCCAUGCUCACACAGUGCUGUGAUGCCUGUAGUGAUCGCGCCUGGCAAAACCAUAAGCCAGGGCAGCAAUUUAUUGCUGACGGCAGGGAAAGCACCUACGUCUUUUGAUAUGGUGUGAAUACUUUGAAAGUGCCACAGUGACGUAGCUUUGCCAGAAAUGGCGAAGGUGGAACGAGGUAAACCCCGUGAGUGAGCAACCCAAAUUUUGGUAGGGGCACUUUCCGGACGGAACUGAACAGAUGGAAAGGCGGAACAUAUAUAUAGGUGUUUCGCAGAUAGAUGAUUGCCGCCGGAGUACGAGGCCAUACCCUGGCCGCCUGCAGUACGAUGGAACAAAACAUGGCUUACAGAA
rnacentral:RNase_P_RNA from 1 species